CUCUUCACAUAGCAUCUGUUGACUACUAUUUGAAGAUUCUUAUACAAGCUUAAAGACACUUACAUUUCUCUAUCUUAAACCCCAAGAAAACUUUAAGAAACAGAGAGAGACUUCUUACUAUUAUUUUUGACUUGAUUCUUGACAUUUUUGACUAACAAAAACUCAAUCAUCAUCAAUGGCAAAAGCUCUGUUCUUCAAUUUCUGCAUAUCUCUUCUUAUUAUUGCCAUACUUGUGAGCCAUGAAAUCAUACCAACAGAGGCAAGACACUUGAGGACCCAUAGAAAGUCAAUCAAGAACAGUACUCUUACUGUACACGAAGGAGCCGGUGGCUUGAGAACCGGUGGUGGCUCUGUGAAGACUGACAUUAGCAAAGAAGAACAUGGCGUUGAUGAGUUCCGGCCAACAACUCCGGGAAACAGCCCCGGCAUUGGCCAUUGAUCCAUUAGAACCUAAAUAAUUACAAUAUUUACAAACUUGUGCAUAGUGUACCAAGCUUAAUGUGUUUGUCUUUCUGAUAUUCUCUUCUCUUUUCGUUUCAUUUUUCUUUUUUUUUACAAUUAUUGGUUAAAGUGUA